ACGAUAAACCGCCACUAUUUCAUC
rnacentral:siRNA from 1 species